UACGUAGGCAGCAAGCGUUGUUCGGAGUUACUGGGCGUAAAGAGUGCGUAGGCGGUCCUGUAAGUUUGGUGUGAAAUCUCCCGGCUCAACUGGGAGGGUGCGCCGAAGACUGCAGGGCUUGAGUAUGGGAGAGGUAAGCGGAAUUCCUGGUGUAGCGGUGAAAUGCGUAGAUAUCAGGAGGAACACCUGUGGUGUAGACAGCUUACUGGACCAUAACUGACGCUGAGGCACGGAAGCGUGGGUAGCAAACAGG
rnacentral:rRNA from 1 species